GGCCCGGUAGCUCAGUCGGUAGAGCAGAGGGUUGAAAAUCCUUGUGUCGGUGGUUCGAUUCCGCCCCAGGCCACCA
rnacentral:tRNA from 1 species